rnacentral:lncRNA from 1 species
AUGCUGCUGGAGGAGCGCCGGGCGGCCGCGGCCUCGGAGGACGACGACAACGACGAGCUGGAGUGCGGCAUCUGCUGCAUGCCCUCCCGCGAGGGCUGGUGGGAGGAGGUCACGUGCCCUUACUGCCGCGCCGUGACGUCGCUGCGCGAGCGCGGCAACCUCCUCGUGGCCGGCGUGAGGCGCGGGAGCGGCGCCGGCCGGAGGCGCCUCGUCCUGCCGCCCAUCGACGCCGAGCUCUGGCAGCGGGGCGUCCGCCUGGAGGACGAGAGGAAGGGGCGAGGAGGAGCGGAGCCCGGGCCGGUGCCUCGGGGCGGCUUGGAGAACGAAGAGGAGGAGGACGAAGAAGGAACCGGCGUCGGCGGCGAGGACGACGACGACGGGCCGGGGCGCCUCUGGAGGGCCUUCAAGCGGUUCCUCAAGGGCGGAGGGCGCCAGGCGCCUGCGCGGAGCCGGAGGGGGCGUGGCCGGUGCCGCUCCCUGCCCCCCCGACGGAGGCCGCCGCUGAUCAACCCCUACGGCUCUGAAAUGAAGGACUUGGCGCUCAUGACCUGCUACAUCAUCUAAAGAGUGCAAGUUGGCACGAAUCAGCAAACGUUUAGGACCUGCUGCGCUGGAACAACAUGGCCAGUGUGCAUGGCAGAAGUGUUGGUGCCGCCAUCUUUGGCUUCACUUGGGACGUUCCUUCCUUAUCUGCCGCUUGUGGAAGAUGAUGGGUGUAGAUGCACUGGAAGCUGGUUAUCACAUAAGAUGAUCUUUCUGGAUGUUGCUUUUCCCAUAGAGACCGUUGGAGAGACAUGAUGAAGAAAAAGCUAGAGGACAGUUUUCGCCCUGUGGUCCGUCGCUUCUCUUACCAUUUGAAAUUAUAGGGGGAAAAGAAGGGUGUACAACACAUUGUGUCCACUCAGUUGGGAGACUAGGUGUCUUGCCUGUGUGUUGCAUCUGAUUGGUCCAACCCCAAUAUUUUAAACUUCUCCAUUGCCUGUUUGCCAUGGUAAAAAUGGAGAUGGAGGGGCUGCAGUUUUAAAGAUAGCUUUCCUGAGAGUAUUCUUCCACUCUCCUCUUGACAGAUACGGUGUGGAUGCGACUGGGAUUGUGGCUAACAAUUAUGGUUAUAAAUUGAAUGUUUUUUUAUUAUUAUUAUUUACUAUAAAGUAAGCAUUUUUACAGAACUUCUUGUCUUUGGAUGGUGGGAGGGAUGGAAUUAGACGUUCUGGAGAAUUUUGUGUAUAUUCUCUCUUCAUUGUCCAAGCUUUGGGGAGAGAUUUCCUUUUACGUCUGCAUAUAAGGGCAUAUUCAUACCUUUGGUGAACAUAAAUAGUAUUGGUGUUCUCGUGCCAGAUGCUUCUCUGUGAUGUAGGAAGCUAAAGGAAUGAAUGAAUAAAUAAAAUGUUAGUUAUUUCUCA